UAUCUUCUUUCAGAACGGGUUCCAUGCAUAUCUUUGACUUUUUUAGGUCUCAUCUUUCCAGGCUAUAUGCUAUAUAUAUGACCCAUUUUGAUGUGCAUCUCUUCCAAGCUUGCUUUUUGAUUGUUUUCUGAAGACAUUGGAGUUGUCAAGGUGCCAAGCCUGUUAUGCCAGCUACUGCUCAUGCCUCUUCUUUUCGUUCCUGGCUCGGAAGCCGAGACCUGCACUUAUGAGUGUAGGACCUAUAGCACUCUUCUAUGUAAGAAGCAUAAAUGUGUUGAGGCCUGCCACAAGGAGGGCUAUACCAGUGGGUUUUGUUACCUGCUCCCCAAAAUUUGUUACUGCCAAAAAGAGUGUUGAAUAAGAAAAAUCUUGCAACUGUUGUAGGAUGUGUGAUGUAACAAUAAAUAAGGUUGUGUACUAUGAUUAAGUGACAAUGAGCAAUGGCCGAAGUUACGGCUCAACCAAACAUUCCAUA